GCCGUCGCAUGCCUCCAGGAUCUGAUGUAGAAAGAAAGGCAAUGCAUGCAACUAGCAUGUCAGACGUGGACUCUGGGAAGAACACAAAGGCAGGCCGCGACAAACGUCUGCGGUUGUAUAUUACAAUGUCUUCAGUGGUCCCAAUGGUGCUGCUGUCUUUGCGUCUGACACUUUUACUUGGUAAACUGUAUCAGAAGAAAAGAGAGCUGUAAGUUGGUUUUUCCCCUAAAGUUCUCAUUGCUUCAGUUGGCAACGAAACCCCUGAAGCUACAGUAUCCUGCAUGGCCAAGUCAGCUGUUGGCAGUACUCUGCUGAAUUCCUGUUGUAAGAUUUUUUAAACUGCCUUCUUAAUUCCCACGUGACCAGUAGUAUUUUCUGGAAUUCAUUCUUACAGAAUGAAAGACAGAGAAGAGAAAGCACUGGGACAAGCUAACACUGACGCUGCCUCGACUGAAGAAGAUCAAACUGGAGAUGCAGCAUCAAGGGAAGAAACAAAAUGAUACUCUUACCCAAGAAGAUGAGAACAUCAACAACAGCCUCAGCCCAUGCCCCUGCACUUUUGCACCAGAGUUCACUCAGCUUUACGGCAACAUGAGUGCAGAUGCCUCACCUCUAACAGCAUGUCCCAGCAG
rnacentral:lncRNA from 1 species